rnacentral:rRNA from 1 species
UAGGGAAUAUUGGACAAUGGGCGCAAGCCUGAUCCAGCCAUGCCGCGUGAGUGAAGAAGGCCCUCGGGUUGUAAAGCUCUUUUGUUGGGGAAGAAAAGCCUUGGGUUAAUACCCUGAGGUUCUGACGGUACCCAAAGAAUAAGCACCGGCUAACUUCGUGCCAGCAGCCGCGGUAAUACGAAGGGUGCAAGCGUUACUCGGAAUUACUGGGCGUAAAGCGUGCGUAGGUGGUUCGUUAAGUCUGAUGUGAAAGCCCUGGGCUCAACCUGGGAAUUGCAUUGGAUACUGGCGAGCUAGAGUGCGGUAGAGGGUAGUGGAAUUCCCGGUGUAGCAGUGAAAUGCGUAGAGAUCGGGAGGAACAUCUGUGGCGAAGGCGACUGCCUGGACCAGCACUGACACU